rnacentral:rRNA from 1 species
GACGAACGCUGGCGGCGUGCCUAAUACAUGCAAGUGGAACGCAACUUUUCAUCCGUUUCUUCGGAAACAUCAGAGAAGUUGAGUCGCGAACGGGUGAGUAACGCGUAGGUAACCUGCCUGAUAGCGGGGGAUAACUAUUGGAAACGAUAGCUAAUACCGCAUAAGAGCUUUAGUGGCAUCAUUGGAGCUUAAAAGGAGCAACUGCUUCGCUAUCAGAUGGACCUGCGUUGUAUUAGCUAGUUGGUGGGGUAAAGGCCUACCAAGGCAACGAUACGUAGCCGACCUGAGAGGGUGAUCGGCCACACUGGGACUGAGACACGGCCCAG